UCAACCACCAAACUUACUCCUGACCUGCCAGCUAUCCUUCAGACCAAAGCGCAGCAUCACUGCUCCCACUGAGCGCAACAUUCUUCCCAUUACAGGACAAUGAAGGGGGAUCAGCACCCUAAGAACCAAUCUGAGGCUGUCACUGAGAGAAUGACCUGCCAACCUUUUUGUAAAAAAUAAAAUUUAAAUCUACUAAUGGA